rnacentral:lncRNA from 1 species
UCCCAAGAGUGUUACUAGUACUACUACUGGUUCCCUUGAUGGACUAAUGUUAAAGGAGUCCACAUCAGAAGCAAACAAUUGGAAAGUUCCUGAGAUGAGCCAUAGACCACUCAAGAAAUCCAGGCAUAAUUUCCUGUAGAAGAACAUGAAAAAUGUGUUCGAUCUUUUUUCUUCUGUUCUGUUUGAUGGAGAGGUGCAUUCAGUCAACGGCUACUUUUUCCUCUCCAUUCUUGAUUGAUGUAACUUGUAAGCUUUCCUCGUCAAAAUGAGAAUACAAAGCCAGAUAUUUCCCCUUGGUGGAAAAGACAGCACAUUAAUUAAUUUGGGUUGUUUGUCAAUGGGAG